GAUAGCAGUUCAUUUAUCAGUUUUUCAAAUCUUAUUUAUAACUAAAUAAAAGAAAAAUGUUUAUAUGAUUGAAAUUGAACUUACCACUUUUGGACAGUAGUACUUAAAAAUCAUAAAAAAACAAGAACUAUUUAUAAUUGUAAGUGUUAUCAUUGUAUUUGUUGGCUGUCAAUUAUAGAAGACCAACUUCAAAACCAUUUUGAUUUGAAACUGCUAAUUUUUCCCAGGAGAGUGAAUGCUGAGCUAUUUUCAAAAAAAAUGUCUUCAUUAUUUAUAUCACAUUUCGCGUCAAUUUUAUCACAAACCAAUUUUUUAAAUUUUUUUUAUCUUAUCUAGUUUCCAAGAAAUUCCAAUUCUGUCAAAUUGCAGUUUUCGCUCAUAUAUUCUCAUUCAUUUUUUCGAUUAUAUUUUUCUUGUAUAAGUUUUGUAUUUGAACUUAUUUGUGCUUUCAAACUAAAGCAGAAACAGGUUACUCUACAUUGCAACAGCUGGGUUUGCAAAAUUCGCUGAGAAUGAAGAGACAUAAUCGGCCGAUUCUUGAAAACGAUGAUAUUCAAGAUGCUCGUGAUGAUCCAGGCAUUAAAAAUAACAAGUUAAUGCGAGCUGAAAGCAAUCAAUUCUCAGGAACUCAAAAUUCCAAUCAAGCAUUUCAUAGUGAAAAACCAUAUAGAGAAAAUAAUGUUAAAGUUCAUCCGACUUCAGACGACAAAACAGAAAGUGAAAAUUAUCGAACGAUAAAUUUCAAACAUAACGGAACAACCUCUAAAAAUCAAACUACUUCGGAACCAGAUUUCAAAAGAGAGCUGGAGAAUUUUUACCAAGAGCUCGACGAAAUCAAUAUUGAGUGCGCCGGCAAUUUUCAAGUCAAGUUUAACCAUAAUAAAUCUUUGAAGUGUUUCCUCGAAUGCCUGUAUCCCGAUUGGAAAAAACCAGGAAAGGUAACAUCAAUACCCUGCGCAAGGAUACCUAAAGUGUUUGUACGGAAAGAUUAUUCAAGCAAAUGCCUUCAAAAACAUUUCAACUCACAGCGAAAAGGUGAUGAUGGUGAAGGGAAAAUUUACCGAUUUUUUCUAAAGGAAGUCGCAACGGACGAUGGAGGUAUAAUUGUUCUCCCUAACGUUAAUGGGAAUCAUAUUUUCAAACAAGGUGGUUUGGGUUCAGUCGAAAUAGAUAUGAUUGUAGCUCACCCUUGGAAAGGAAUUUUCGUUUUCAAUGUCAAGAACGAAAGCGGAUUCCGAUUUGGAAAAAAUAAACAAAAUGACGAAAACGACUGGAUUGAAAAACUCCAAUCAGAAAUGUUGAAGCAUACCAAUUUUAUACGAUAUCUUUUGGACUACAGCAAACUUUCGGAUCAAUCAACAACCUUGUCAUCAAGGGGAGAAAGUGAGGUUACUGAAACGGAUACAGUUCGAAUUCAUGCAGUUUUUUGCUAUAUUCCUGACGAUUUAAGCUCACUAACAAAACUUGCAGAUAAUGACGCAAAUUGGUACAAUCAUGGUGUUGUUCAGAAAAGCGGCCUUGGUAAUGUUAUAGUGUUUCAAAAAUCGGAUUUAAAAAAAUUUGAGACAAAAUGGAAAGAAGAAUUAGAAAAAAUCUCAUCAAUGGAAAAUUCUGCGGCUUUCGACAUUUUGGUCGCUCGACUUGUUGCACUCAACUCACAGAACGGGGCCAGCGCUGUGAUUCACCAGAAAAUUGUGUCAAAUGAGUUGCAAUCCUUUAAUGUUCUCAACAAAAAUAGCGAAGUAAGAAAUAGACUUGAGCAACAACUUAGUGAAACUCUUCCACAAGAAGAAGACAAAGAGUGCAAAAAAAAAUUGAUAAAGUUUAUGAAGGAAAUUUCUACACCGCCCAUAAAUGGAAGAAGACGAUUUUUUUUCUGGACGAAAGAGCAGGUUAAUGUUAUAGCCACUGUCUUCAAAGGGCUGAUGAAAUCGACAAAUGAAGGAAUGCGGGUAAUGGUAAAAGGAGCUAAAGGCACAGGUAAAACGAUACUUAUGAUAUAUUUGGCUCGUUUAGCUGAGCUGGAAUUUAAGAAUCAGAAAAAUGGCGGCAGAGUUAUCAUUUGCAAUGGCGAUAGGGGCUCACCUGUUCUCCUGUUUUCACAACUAAGAUUGAAGUUGAAAAACACAGGAAUCGAAUUUGUCAUAGAUUACAGAAAAUUGCAUGAAACCUUGAACAAUAUAGCAGAAAAUUGCAUUGUUUUCUUCGAUGAGACUUAUUUCAAUGUGCACUCGAACUUUCUGGCACAGUUGAACAAAAGAGCUCAUUGCUGUGUUUUUUCUUCAGAGGGAAGAUAUAGCGCCAUAAAUUCCUUCAAAAGCUUAUAUUUGACACUUGCUCUAAGGUCCACCAGCAGCCUACAAAUAUUUUUCAAUAACUUGCUGAAAAACACUUUAUCGAUUCCGGAUAUGAAUGGAGCCAUUAGUCAUAGUCUGAUAGGAAGCAACAGUCCAGAUAUAAAAAUCUACCGAGCCAGCGAUGGUUGUGAUUUUAAGUACUUCUGGGAAAAAUGCGUCGAAACGGUUUGUAAAUACGCAACUGAAACAUCAACCAAAUUGUCAACGUCAAUUCCAACGAGAAAUCUUGUUUCAGAAAAAUCAGAAAUGGAUAAAUUAGAAAUUCUUGUGAUAUUUGACUUCUUGUCGCUCAAAAGCCAACUAAACAUUCUUUCCCAAUUGAAAGAGAAAAAUCUGAAUCUCUGCUCGGCGUCAUAUAAAAAUGUGUCCGGAAGGAAGAACCACGACCAAAAUUUACCCACUAUUAGACUGGAGCCUUCUACACUUGUAGGUGGCACUGAGUUCGGAUGUGUCAUAGUACUCCUAGAACGUUCAGUGAACAUCUCACCGUUGAAUUUCAUACGAAGAUUUUUCGUGUCUGCAACCCGGGCGACAACCAACUUGGCCGUUGUUGCUACCGACUUAGCAAGUACAAAAACUGCCCUGAGUAUAGAGGAAAUUGAGGCCCAUUUAUCCCAAUUCAAUGAACGUCACUAUCUAGUGAACAAAGACAGUCUGCCAUUAUAUUUAUCAAUUUUGCUGAAGAGUCUAAAGAAAUGUGAAUCCACCAUAGUUAUCAUUGGAACCAUACCAGAGAUGAAAUGCUUGAAAAAAAUGAAAUUAGCAGAGAUAAGUUUCGGUUCGUGUUCAGUUGAAGUUCAACACUGUUUAUUCGAUGGGGAUCAAAUGGUACUAAUUUUCUCUAAUUUCGCUCGCGCACUCUCUCUCCAAGCUCUUACGUGGUAUCAAAAUCGGAAAAUAUCAGCGGUGAUCAAAAUUAUUGGAAAUGAGUUUGAAAACCAGAUCAAUCAAUUAGCAGAAGGCGAAUGCUCGGCAAACCUACAGUGUUUCAACGGUUUGACAUAUAACAUUAGUUAUACUUCGAGGGACUUGAUUGACAUUACUGAAUUUUGCUGUUCCUUAAAAGAACAGAGAAAUGAUGUUUGCGAACAACGGUUAUCGGAUCCAAUGAUAAUAAAAUCAGAAAUUUCAAAUGAGUUAAAAUACUCGUGGGAAGACGUCGAGAAUUCAUUACAAGAGGUCAAACAUUUCACGAUUUUCGGGGUCGGCAUCAAAAAAUUCAAUUAUUACACUCUUUCUUUCAGUGUGCUGCUAGAAGAAUAUCGCCAGUGUAUCAAAUCAGGCUGUAAAGCGCCAGCUGUAAAAUUCAGAGCGGAAGCAGCAAAUUUCAUCCUUGUUUUGUUGAAGUCACUCACCGAAACCAUUUUCAACAUUUCAAAAAAGGACAAAUUUAACCGGCUUCUUUAUUUUAUGGGUAUUCAGUAUGCAAAAUAUUCGGUUUGGUUCAAUCCAAAUUUUUCGAAGGGUUAUCUUCAAAUCAUUCGAAUUUGCCAAGAUGUCUUAAAAACACUAAAGCAUGAAAAGGAUUGGCUCAUUACGGAAGCGAACAAGACCUCUAAAUGUACAUUCCUGAACGAUUUGAUCAAAAACAAUCGAUCUGAAACUACGAGUUUACAUGUUCAAACAAUACCACGAAUGGACACAAGUUACUAUAAUCAUUUUGAGUUUCUGCAACUCCUCCAAAGAGCAGCUGGCUUUAGAGAAAAGGGACAUAUAGAGUUUCUAUUCUUAUAUUGACUAAAAUAAAAGUGCAGGAGUUUUUUUUCUGGAAAAGUCUUACAAAUUGUUAGAAAAAGACUUACAAAAUGAAGAAAUCAAGUCGUGAUCAUGCAUGUACCAGAAAAAGACAAAAAAAAUUGACCUUGAAAAGCUGGGUUACCUCAUUUAGCCAUUAUUGAGCAAAAACACAUUUGGAAUUAAAAUUCUGGGGAAAAAUAGGGGAAAACGGAAAAGAGUCCCUUUUUGUGGCACGAGAUAGAGGCGUAAAACUCUUUGUUUAAAAAAUUACUAUAUCUCCCCGUUUAGUCUCAAAAGAACCCGGAUGACGAUAGCGCAUCACUUUUUUCUCUAAGUCAGUAUCAAAGCAUCCUAUCAAGUUUUAAUUCAAGAUUGGAUAUCACCAAUGCCCUGUUCAAGCAAUACAGAAACAGUCUGAAUACGGAAUCUUCGUGUAGUUUAGUAGCAAACAGACGGGAAAUUGGCAGAUCUUGUGCCGAAUCUGCGAGAUGGUGUUUAUCGCAAAUAGAUACACGUGGAUCAAGUGUUAUUUUCCUCGAUGUCGCAAAGUUUGUUUUUAAUGGCCUGCAUAUGGACCCAUUCAGUGGCGAAUGUUACGAUGUGCUUUUCGAAUUAUUGGAAGCGGAAAUAAAAAAAGCCUCGGAAAAGAAAGAAAAAUUGGAUCUAGCUGAACUUGCGGAGAAAGACAUAAAUGCAUCGCCUGUACUUGAGGAGUGGCUGCAAAAACUCUAUCCGGAAGGACCCCCUGUAGAUGAUCAAUAACUUUGUCGUAUUGAUCAAAAUUCCAUUAAAUGACGGUGGAAAUUAUAUCACGCGGGUCUGCAUUAUUA